UACGUAGGGUGCAAGCGUUAAUCGGAAUUACUGGGCGUAAAGGGUGCGUAGGCGGUUCAGAAAGCAAGAUGUGAAAUCCCUGGGCUUAACCUAGGAACAGCAUUUUGAACUCCUGAGCUAGAGUGUGUCAGAGGGGGGUGGAAUUCCACGUGUAGCAGUGAAAUGCGUAGAGAUGUGGAGGAAUACCGAUGGCGAAGGCAGCCCCCUGGGAUAACACUGACGCUCAUGCACGAAAGCGUGGGGAGCAAACAGG
rnacentral:rRNA from 1 species